UACGGGGGGAGCAAGCGUUGUUCGGAUUUACUGGGCGUAAAGGGCGCGUAGGCGGCCACUGCAAGUCGGUUGUGAAAUCUCCGGGCUUAACCCGGAAAGGUCAAUCGAUACUGCAGGGCUAGAGUGCGGAAGGGGCAACUGGAAUUCUCGGUGUAGCGGUGAAAUGCGUAGAUAUCGAGAGGAACACCUGCGGCGAAGGCGGGUGCUGGGCCGACAGUGACGCUGACAGCGCGAAAGCUAGGGGAGCGAACGGG
rnacentral:rRNA from 1 species